UUUCCGUAGGUGAACCUGCGGAAGGAUCAUUACAGAGUUCAUGCCCUCACGGGUAGAUCUCCCUUCCUUGAAUAUUUAUGCCUUAGUUGCUUUGGCAGGCCGUGGAAACACCAUGGGCUCCGGCUUAUGCGUGCCUGCCAGAGGAAACAAACUCUGUUUUUAGUGAUGUCUGAGUACUAUAUAAUAGUUAAAACUUUCAACAACGGAUCUCUUGGUUCUG
rnacentral:misc_RNA from 1 species